rnacentral:rRNA from 1 species
UAGCAAGAAAAUUUUUUGAAUUAGAUUUCUCGAAACCUAAGGAGCUACCUUAGUUUUGGUUUAGCCCUAUAUAAAGGUGGGUGUGGCAUAACCCUAUUUAAAAUUUAAGGUAGAAAUUAAAUGUUAUUCGUUUUAGGUGAUAGCUAGUUAUACUAUAAAGAUAUAUAAGUAUCGGAUAUAAUUUUAUUAUGUGUUUAUGUUAUAUACAUAUAAUAACUUAUUUUCUUAAUUAUACGAGGGUAAGCUCGUAUAAACUCAAUUUAGCUAAAAUUAUAUAUGAAUCUAGGCUUGAAAUUAGCCAUGGUUUGGAAUUUGUUAAAAAUGCAUAUAUACAUAUAAAAACUUUGUAAUAUAUUAAAUUUAUAUUAUUCAACUAUGUAAUUAAGGCAUGGUUGAUUUAUGCUAAAAUGAGUAUUAUUAUAGGCUAAAACAAAAAAUAAAUUAAAUUUUUUUAAAAAUUUUUUAUAAAUAUUAUAAAAUAUAUGAUAGGAACUCGGCAAAAAUUUGGCUCCGCCUGUUUAGCAAAAACAUGUCUCUUUG